UGCUGAGAUUUUAUUGAUUGCGACCCAAACUGUGAAGAAGUGGGUUUGAAAUUUUGGUCAUGGAAUGUAGGAUCAGAAAACCAUGGACAAAGGUUUUUACCUGUGUUGAUAUGACUUUUGGAAACUCAAAUUGACCGGUCAAAGUUUUGCCAUGCCUUUAACAUGGAGUAGUAUAAAUAUUUUGAGUCUUUGAGAGUUCUGACAAAUGCAGGUGAUACCAUGUCUGUGUAAUCUGGUCCAAAUGUUCUAUAAGCGUAUAAGAGAGAAAUUCUAUUGACAGGGUACAUAUGUUGCAACUGGUUAAUGCAAGUGUUAUACAAAUGUUUAAGUCAAACGCGUUAUAUGGCCGUACGGGAUCCCUUCUUUAAAAAAAAAAACCCUUUGGUACCAGAACUCUUAAAUAAAUCCAAUACAAACUAAAAUUGGUAUACCUUACAAUAAUAUGUUCUGAAUACAGCUGUUAGAAGUUUAUUCUGUGUGAAUGAUGAUUGUCAUAAAUGUUUGUUUUGGGUACUCAUUUUGAAGUGCGCAGUUUAAUUGUCAUGUAUGUUAAUGGGUAUUUUGCUGUGUUAUUUUAAAUUAUAUUUGAAUAAGUUUGUCUUAGUAUUGAUACAGAUGAAAAUGGCAGCGUAAUAAUCUAUUAAACAACUGAUUUAUUAUUGAAUACUUGUCCAAGAGCAAUAUGAGUUGUAGUCUUAAGAAAGAAAAAAAGAGGGAGUCUGUUUUUGUAAAUUUUAGCUGAUUUCCAAAAUUCUGUUGCAAUAAUGGACUUCCUGCCAAAAUUUGACUUUCCUGUCCAGUUGCCAGGUGCUCUGAUCUAAUCUUAAAGCAGUACUGCUUGCAUUGUUUGCAGACAUGCAUAAUGCACAAACAUGAGAACCAAAUUAUGUCCGUCACAUAGUGUGACAUUUAUUAAUUUAUUUUGGAUUGAGUUAAUUGCCUGUCCAUGAAUAUGCUUUUGGUAUUGGCAUGUCUGCUGGAUAUCUGCUACAUGUUUUCUGUGCUAUAAGAUGAUGUGUGAUAUUACAAUGAGUAUUAUUUAAAGAAUAUUUGCAUGUCAUUAACACAAGCCUUUAGUGUCUUUUUACAACAGAUUAAAAAAACGCUGAUCAGCCAACAAGAAAGGGGCUCCUGGGAAAGAAAAAGAAAAAAUAUAUCAUUUGCUUUUCAAAAUCGUGGAUCCACGUUUCAGUAUUAUUAGGGGAGUAUUUAGAGUUAACGCUACUUUUAAAGUGCAUUGCAUUAUUUAAGAAAAGAAAAAUGUGUUACGUUAUAUGGUUAUAUAACAAGAAAAAUUAUGGAUGUAUAGGAUAGGUUUUUUCCAAGAUUAAGAUUCAUCUAGUAUGCCUCAUUGAUUAUAGGAAAAUGAUGAAAUGGUAUUUUUAAUAGAGAUCAG